rnacentral:rRNA from 1 species
UACGUAGGGGGCUAGCGUUGUCCGGAUUUAUUGGGCGUAAAGAGCGUGUAGGCGGCCAAACAGGUCCGUUGUGAAAACUGGAGGCUCAACCUCCAGACGUCGACGGAAACCGUGUGGCUAGAGUCCGGAAGAGGAGAGUGGAAUUCCUGGUGUAGCGGUGAAAUGCGCAGAUAUCAGGAAGAACACCAAUGGCGAAGGCAGCUCUCUGGGACGGUACUGACGCUGAGACGCGAAAGCGUGGGGAGCGAACAGG